CAACAGUAAUUCGCAUUUUGUUUUUGUUUUCGUUUCUGCGUGUGCGUGUGUAUUUGUCUUCAGUCAAUUUACUUAAUUCACGCAUAAUUUUUUGUUCUGUUUUGUUUUUGUUUAUUUUGCUCAGAAAUUAAGUGGCUAAGCGCAAGAAUUUAAGAGAACAUUCAAAUCGAAUAUACAGAAAAAAAAAAGUUCCAACGAAAUAAAUAAUAUCAAAGAAAUAUGGCCGAUAUAUUAAACAUUGAGCAGCACGAGUCUGUGGAGGAGUUCAGACAAAAUCUGGAGGAAAUGUUGCCCGAAGUAUGCGAACAACAAC